rfam:Ananas comosus cultivar MD2 ACMD2_Scaffold_4699, whole genome shotgun sequence.
UGCGAUAAGCGAUAUUGGUGAGGUUCAAUCUGAUGGUGGGCUUUACAUGCAGCUGUAAACCGAUCUCGGAUUGAGCCGCGCCAAUAUCUCUUUCUUUCUC